GAGCAACAAAAGACCAAAUGGACCUCGUUGUGGGGACCGGUGUGCAAUGGCUACAAACAGCAAUCCUCCUCGGUAGUGUCUGCAGCCUGUUGAUGUGUAUAAGCUGCCCUAGGGGACCUUGGAGACAACC
ensembl:snoRNA SNORA70 Small nucleolar RNA SNORA70